ACAACUCCUACUUUCCAACUUCUUGAUCAUCGGACUAACUUAAGCGUUGGAGUGACUACAUUAAGGUCCAUUUUGGCACCAUUCUAACCUCCCCUGGUGAGUUAUUUCAGUCCUGCGAUUGAUCAUCUUCCCGGACCCUUCGGAGCCACACCUCCUAUCUCGACGCAUCCUUUGUUGGCUCAGUCAUCCACGGCACUGAUUGCAAGAAAAAUCAUGGAAGUCGGCUCUUCAUCAUCAUCAUCGUUCACUCGACGACGUACGAACGACGAGCAAUGUGGAGCUCCUCACAUAUUGUGUUAUUGUGGGUUACGAUCUACACUCCAAACAUCAUGGACGGAAUCUAAUCCAGGAAGGCGAUUUUUUCAUGUCCAAAAUAUAGACAAAGGGGAUGUGGCUUCUUCUUAUGGCACGACCCAGAAUCGUUAGAGAGAAGUAAGACAAUUAUUAAUGAGUUGAAGAGAAAUAACAAAAAAUUAAUGUUGGAUAUUAGUGAAUUGAAGAAAUGUACUAGUUGCGAGGGUACAGUUGAAUACAAUGAUAUUCUGGACGAUGAGAACAACAAUCAUGUAAUUAUGCGGAUGAGUGAUGAAAUACAUUCAUUGAAUAGGAAAUUUAGAGUUGCUAUGGUUGUAGUUGUAUGUUCUUGGAUUGUGAUGAUAGCGAUAUGGUUGAUGUAACUUAUGUUUUGAUGUAACUUGACAUUGUAAUGUAACUCUAAGUGGUGUAACUUGUUUUCUGAUGUAG